rnacentral:rRNA from 1 species
AUUGAACGCUGGCGGCAGGCCUAACACAUGCAAGUCGAGCGGUUGAAGGGAGGUUGCUCCUGGAUUCAGCGGCGGACGGGUGAGUAAUGCCUAGGAAUCUGCCUGGUAGUGGGGGAUAACGUCCGGAAACGGGCGCUAAUACCGCAUACGUCCUGAGGGAGAAAGUGGGGGAUCUUCGGACCUCACGCUAUCAGAUGAGCCUAGGUCGGAUUAGCUAGUUGGUGGGGUAAAGGCCUACCAAGGCGACGAUCCGUAACUGGUCUGAGAGGAUGAUCAGUCACACUGGAACUGAGACACGGUCCAGACUCCUACGGGAGGCAGCAGUGGGGAAUAUUGGACAAUGGGCGAAAGCCUGAUCCAGCCAUGCCGCGUGUGUGAAGAAGGUCUUCGGAUUGUAAAGCACUUUAAGUUGGGAGGAAGGGCAGUAAGUUAAUACCUUGCUGUUUUGACGUUACCAACAGAAUAAGCACCGGCUAACUUCGUG